rnacentral:tRNA from 1 species
AGCUAAGUGGCUCAAUGGAUAGAGUUCUUGUCCUCAAGUCAGGAAGACUAGAGUUCAAAUCUGGGCUGAGCUA